UGGGUAUGAAGCUUUCAUUAUUGACUGAAAAUAUUACAGCACAAGUGAAUGAAAGUUACAAUAACAACCUCCGCCUCAACCUCACCAGAAAACAAACACGAUCCCAAAUGGAAUAAAAACAAGAAUAAAGAACAAAGAUUCAUGGAUGUGAAACCUCCUUCCGGACCAAUAACACAUAAAAUGUAACACACAAAAUAAUAUUACACAUGUUUUCUGGCUAAUCUUAUUUUUCUCUUUUGAUAUUUUAAAGUCAUAUUUUGCCAAACCAUCACUCAGGCAAAUCCUUCUUCAAUUAGAAGUUUGGACCAGCUGCCAGGAUCUCCUCAGUCAGGUUGCUAUCACUUCCAAUCUUGUAGUUUGUGAACACCUCAAAAUUCUUCCUAAAUAGGCCUCCCAGCUUCAACAGGGUAUCCUUGUGUGCCUUCUUGUCGGGCCAAGUGUUCACGGGGUCCAGAAUCUCGGAAGGUACUCCCUCAAGUGCAGUUGGAAUCUCCAGCCCAAAUACCUCGGUCUUCUUGUAUUCUGCUUUCAGAAGAUCGCCGGAGUGGAUGGCAUCGAUGAUCUUCCUAGUGUAUGCUAACUUGAUUCGGCUGCCUGAUCCAUAACUUCCACCUGACCAGCCAGUGUUCACAAGCCAUCCUGUAGCUCCAUGUUUCAGCAUCUUCUCAGCCAGCAUGGCUGCAUAUUUGGUUGGAUGAAGCAUGAUAAAUGCUGCACCGAAACAUGCUGAAAAUGUUGCUGUAGGCUCCUUAAUACCAUCUUCGGUUCCUGCCACCAAAGCUGUGUAGCCACUGAUGAAGUGGUACAUUGUCUGUGCCAAGUUCAAUUUGCUGACUGGUGGAAGCACGCCGAAUGCAUCACAUGCAAGGAGAAUGACAUUCUUUGGAUGAGGACCAACGCAUGGUAUUUUAGCAUUUGGGAUGUAUUCAAUUGGAUAUGCUGCCCGGGUGUUCUCUGUUACAGAUUUGUCUGUAUAAUCCACUUCUCGGGUAUGUUCUUCAAAAACCACGUUUUCCAGCACAGUGCCAAACUUGAUGGCAUUCCAGAUA
rnacentral:misc_RNA from 1 species